rnacentral:tRNA from 1 species
UCAGGGAUAGUUCAAAUGGAGGAACGCCCGGCUCUGAACCGGGAGGUUGGGGGUUCAAGUCCCUCUCCCUGGA